UACGUAGGGUGCGAGCGUUGUCCGGAAUUAUUGGGCGUAAAGGGCUCGUAGGCGGUUUGUCGCGUCGGGAGUGAAAACGCCGUGCUUAACACGGCGCUUGCUUUCGAUACGGGCAGACUAGAGGUAUGCAGGGGAGAACGGAAUUCCUGGUGUAGCGGUGAAAUGCGCAGAUAUCAGGAGGAACACCGGCGGCGAAGGCGGUUCUCUGGGCAUUACCUGACGCUGAGGAGCGAAAGUGUGGGGAGCGAACAGG
rnacentral:rRNA from 1 species